UUCAGGUAUGAGAAUUUGUUAGAAACAAUAGAUUCGUGGGAAAAGAGGAAGCAGAUGAAAGCAAGACGCAAGCUAAAUAAGUAUGAGCAAAGUGAAAGUCAGAAGAAAAGGGAGAAAGGGUUGAAGAAAUAUCAAGAUAAGAUGAGCUAUAUAAAUCAGAUUGCAGGUGGAGCAAGAGCUCAAGCAGAGGAAAGACGAAGGAAUGAAGUGUUCAAAGCAAAAGAGAAGGCAAAUAUAAUUAGAACAACAGGCAAGAUUCCAGGGCCAUGUUCCUGCUUCUAAUAACAACAAUUAUAUACGUACAUAUUACAUAACAUCACUGAGUUUGGACAUAACAAAUACAGAUAUGUAACUACUUGUUUCACAAUUCUAUGAUUUCUAACUGUACAGCUCUCAGUUCUCAUUUGUAGUGGGAUGAUUUUCCAUUAUACCUUAAAAAAAAAAUUAAAAAAAAAAAGGAGGGGAGAUCAGAUUCUGUAAAA